rnacentral:piRNA from 1 species
UAGAAAUUUUUUUUCAGUCACUGCUCCUGC